rnacentral:rRNA from 1 species
UACGGGGGGAGCAAGCGUUGUUCGGAUUUACUGGGCGUAAAGGGCGCGUAGGCGGUCAGCACAAGUCAGUUGUGAAAUCUCCGGGCUUAACUCGGAAACUGCCAUUGAUACUAUAGGUCUUGAAUUAUCUGGAGGUAAGCGGAAUAUGUCAUGUAGCGGUGAAAUGCUUAGAUAUGACAUAGAACACCAAUUGCGAAGGCAGCUUACUACGGAUUGAUUGACACUGAGGCACGAAAGCGUGGGGAUCAAACAGG